CAAUUAAUUAAAAUUAAAAACAAUGCAUAUAACAUUCAGAAGUAGGAUAAUUUGCCUUAACUCAUUAUACCCCCCAUGAAGCAAACAAAAUCGCUGGAGCCUAGAUACCAUUAAAGGAAAGCUGCCUUUAAAAACAUGCACUACAUUGUAAAUGUACAUGAAAUGCAUAAAAAUACAGAUAUACUGCAUAUUGCUCUUAUUUCUAUUUCUUGUAAAUGUACACGAACUGCAUAAAAAUACAGAUAUACUCCAUAUUGCUCUUAUUUCUAUUUCUAGAGAAAUCC
rnacentral:lncRNA from 1 species